rnacentral:rRNA from 1 species
CAUGAGCUGGGGGUGGCCGCAGAGACCAGCGAGAAGCGACUGUUUACUAAAAACACAGGUCCGUGCGAAGCCGUAAGGCGAUGUAUACGGACUGACGCCUGCCCGGUGCUGGAACGUUAAGGGGACCGGUUAGUGCACUUUCGGGUGUGCGAAGCUGAGAACUUAAGCGCCAGUAAACGGCGGUGGUAACUAUAACCAUCCUAAGGUAGCGAAAUUCCUUGUCGGGUAAGUUCCGACCUGCACGAAUGGCGUAACGACUUCUCGACUGUCUCAACCAUAGGCCCGGUGAAAUUGCACUACGAGUAAAGAUGCUCGUUUCGCGCAGCAGGACGGAAAGACCCCGGGACCUUUACUAUAGUUUGAUAUUGGUGUUCGGUUCGGCUUGUGUAGGAUAGGUGGGAGACUUUGAAGCGGCCACGCCAGUGGUUGUGGAGUCGCCGUUGAAAUACCACUCUGGUCGUGCUGGAUGUCUAACCUGGGUCCGUGAUCCGGAUCAGGGACAGUGUCUGAUGGGUAGUUUAACUGGGGCGGUUGCCUCCUAAAGAGUAACGGAGGCGCCCAAAGGUUCCCUCAGCCUGGUUGGCAAUCAGGUGUUGAGUGUAAGUGCACAAGGGAGCUUGACUGUGAGACCGACGGGUCGAGCAGGGACGAAAGUCGGGACUAGUGAUCCGGCAGUGGCUUGUGGAAGCGCUGUCGCUCAACGGAUAAAAGGUACCCCGGGGAUAACAGGCUGAUCUUCCCCAAGAGUCCAUAUCGACGGGAUGGUUUGGCACCUCGAUGUCGGCUCGUCGCAUCCUGGGGCUGGAGUCGGUCCCAAGGGUUGGGCUGUUCGCCCAUUAAAGCGGUACGCGAGCUGGGUUUAGAACGUCGUGAGACAGUUCGGUCCCUAUCCGCUGUGCGCGUAGGAAUAUUGAGAAGGGCUGUCCCUAGUACGAGAGGACCGGGACGGACGAACCUCUGGUGUGCCAGUUGUUCUGCCAAGGGCAUGGCUGGUUGGCUACGUUCGGAAAGGAUAACCGCUGAAAGCAUCUAAGCGGGAAGCCUGCUUCGAGAUGAGUGUUCCCACCACCUUGAGUGGUUAAGGCUCCCAGUAGACGACUGGGUUGAUAGGCCAGAUGUGGAAGCCCGGUAACGGGUGGAGCUGACUGGUACUAAUAGGCCGAGGGCUUGUCCUCAGUUG